GCUCUCUUCGGCAGGCCAUGUACUAAAGUUGGAAAGAUACAGAGGUUAGAGCAUGGUUCCCGCACAAGGAUGAUAUGCAAAUUUGUGAAGCAUUCCAUAUUUCU